UCGGGAAUUUUGGGCAAUGGGCGAAAGCCUGACCCAGCAACGCCGCGUGAAGGAUGAAGUAUUUCGGUAUGUAAACUUCGUAAGAAUAGGAAGAAUAAAUGACGGUACUAUUUGUAAGGUCCGGCUAACUACGUGCCAGCAGCCGCGGUAAUACGUAGGGACCAAGCGUUGUUCGGAUUUACUGGGCGUAAAGGGCGCGUAGGCGGUGUGUCAAGUCAGUUGUGAAAUCUCCGAGCUUAACUCGGAACGGUCAACUGAUACUGUCACACUAGAGUACAGAAGGGGCAAUCGGAAUUCUUGGUGUAGCGGUGAAAUGCGUAGAUAUCAAGAGGAACACCUGAGGCGAAGGCGGGUUGCUGGGCUGACACUGACGCUGAGGCGCGAAAGCCAGGGGAGCAAACGGGAUUAGAUACCCAGGUAGUCCCUGAGCGGGCUGGCAAGGCGCAU
rnacentral:rRNA from 1 species